rnacentral:rRNA from 1 species
GACGUAGGGCGCGAGCGUUGUCCGGAUUUAUUGGGCGUAAAGAGCUCGUAGGCGGCUCGUUGCGUCGGCUGUGAAAACCCGCAGCUCAACUGUGGGCUUGCAGCUGAUACGGGCGGGCUGGAGUUCGGUAGGGGAGACUGGAAUUCCUGGUGUAGCGGUGAAAUGCGCAGAUAUCAGGAGGAACACCGGUGGCGAAGGCGGGUCUCUGGGCAGUAACUGACGCUGAGGAGCGAAAGCGUGGGGAGCGAAUAGG